UGGAGUACCCUCUGUCUAACUCCUAGACCAAACACUCAGCAAGAGCAGGGUUACCCACUGGGCCAGACUUUGGGCAUUAUAUAGACCUGGGGUAGCAAACUGGCUAUACUGAUUGAUAGAGGCUGCUUGGAGAGCUGUACUGAGGACUCUGCUAAGCUUGAGAGAGUGCUGUGAUGGAUUAGUGAUGUCUGCCACAGGGUCCCCGCACUCCCGGUGAAGAACUUGAAUGGUACUGGGCCGGUCCAUCCGGCCCUGGCAGGGAUGACCGGGAUACUGCUGUGUGCGGCCGGGCUGCCCGUGUGCCUGACGCGGGCCCCCAAGCCCAUCCUGCACCCGCCGCCCGUGAGCAAGAGCGACGUGAAGCCCGUGCCUGGCGUGCCCGGGGUGUGCCGCAAGACCAAGAAGAAGCACCUUAAAAAGAGUAAGAAUCCCGAGGAUGUGGUUCGAAGAUACAUGCAGAAGGUGAAAAACCCACCUGAUGAGGACUGCACCAUCUGCAUGGAGCGGCUGGUCACAGCGUCAGGCUACGAGGGCGUGCUUCGGCACAAGGGCGUGCGGCCUGAGCUCGUGGGCCGCCUGGGCCGCUGUGGCCACAUGUACCACCUGCUGUGCCUCGUGGCCAUGUACUCCAAUGGCAACAAGGAUGGCAGCCUGCAGUGCCCCACCUGCAAGGCCAUCUACGGGGAGAAGACGGGUACGCAGCCGCCUGGGAAGAUGGAGUUCCACCUCAUCCCCCACUCGCUGCCCGGCUUCCCUGAUACCCAGACCAUCCGCAUCGUCUAUGACAUCCCCACAGGCAUCCAGGGCCCUGAGCACCCCAACCCCGGGAAGAAGUUCACCGCAAGAGGAUUCCCUCGCCACUGCUAUCUACCCAACAACGAGAAAGGCCGGAAGGUGCUGCGGCUGCUCAUCACGGCCUGGGAGAGAAGACUCAUCUUCACUAUCGGCACGUCCAACACCACGGGCGAGUCGGACACCGUGGUGUGGAACGAGAUCCACCACAAGACCGAGUUUGGAUCCAACCUCACAGGCCACGGCUACCCGGACGCUAGCUACCUAGACAACGUGCUGGCUGAGCUCACAGCCCAGGGCGUAUCCGAGGCUGCAGCCAAGGCUUGAGGCCCAAGGCUGCCCACCUUCCCUCCUGCUUUGCCCCUGGUCCGGCAAAUGCCUCCUUCACCAGGUGUGUCCUGGUAGCCCAGGUUCAGGGCUGGGGAGGAGCCUGCGGAAGGGGCCGCAGCCAUUCAGGGGACCUGCCUGGUGGCAGCUGGGAUGAAGAGAGAUGGCAUGUCAGGCUGGCCCCGAAUCAUAGCUCCCUGAGAGGGCCAAGCAGAGAGUACUGGAAACCUCCCUACCAAAAAGACAGAGACCUGCCCCCUCACACACAAACACACAUGUCCUGUUGAACUCAUGCACGCACACCCACGUACGUGCCUGUACUUGCCCCCAGGCUGGAAGAGAAGAGACAGAAAGACCCCAUGACCCCCCCAUGUGGAUCCCCAUCUGUGUCUCAGUUGCAUCUGUACAGCCUUGUCUGCGAACUGGAGGAUGCGGGGCAAGCCCUUUGGGGCCUGCCAGGGCUCGGGGGGCAAAGAGGGACUCGGGAAACUCAGUGCACCCCAGAUGCCUCACCCAUUCCAUGUCAUCACCCAUGUCUGCCACCCACUGAUUGGCCAAUCGUGGGCCCAUGGGGUGGAAGCCCCCAGGUGACUGAGCAGUUCUACAAAAGAAUGGCCAGCACGAGCGGGGACUAGAGGGUCCUGAUUUUGUGUUUGUGCCUCUUCAUCUCUCUGGACUCUGAUCUCCUUUUCCCUUCCCAUCUCCAGGCCUUCUGUCUGUCCCAGAUAAAGGCGCUGUUCUCCCAUCCUCCCUACCCCAUCCUCUCCACCAAAUCGCUCCCAAUUUUGAGAGCCAAAGGCUGGCGCUUCUGACUUCAGGAGCGAAAGGAGGAGGCCUAGUUUGGGCCCAUGUAUUUUAAAGCAGAGUGGACAGCAGAGAGUCAAUUUCCCUUUAGUUGGGAGUGGGCAGUGGGGUGGCUAAUUGUCUUCGGCCAACCAGGGGCCUGUUGCCCAGGCAACUCACCAGCUCCGCCUCUGCUGAUUGGCUGCCACGGCGGGAGUCAGCCAAGAUUUAAAGGGAUGCCAGCGAUUGCUCUUUUCAAAACCUACCAGUCCCACUGUG
rnacentral:sRNA from 1 species